rnacentral:misc_RNA from 1 species
GGGCUUAUCUUCUUUAAUUAGGAGUCAACUGUCAUUUUUUUUUUAAAUUUUCCCUUUUUCAUUGUACUAGUUUUCUCUUCCUUCAUUAUUUUUUCUUCUUUUUCAUUAAUACUUUGGGGAAGAUAUCUGCUCCAUUUGUUCUUGUUGGGUGGAAGAUGGUGGUUGUAAUUAUUUCUUUGGUUUUCUGCUUUUGAUUCAACUUUUCAUCUGUUUAGAUUGAGAUGUUUUAGUUGCUUUGGAAUUGUUGGUUGUAAUGUUUCUUCAGGCAACUCAUUUAUGUCAUCUGUUGACCCUUUCUUUGUUGCAAAAAGUGAAGAUUUAGAUUUGAACGUUAACUUAAUUCAUCUG